AUGCAGAAGGAAGGGGAGAUCGUACAGUCUCGUCCCAAGAAGAAUCGAGCUGACCUUGCUGAUGAGCUCGAGUUCUUCACGGAGCUCCGCAAUACGCUGAUGAAGGAGAGGUUUGAUUCUUCCAACUCGUACUGUAGAUUGGACACACAGAAGGGACUUGGUUUUGUCAGCAAUCGUAUCAAGGUCUUGCGCAAGCGUCUGGGGAUAACCGCCGGAACUGCCCACAGUUCCCCCGCGAUAUCUGAUCCGACUGACCCCUUGGAGAAGCAUGUGAAUGAUCUCGGUUUGACAAUAGGAGCAGAUCCAAUUCAAGAUGAUUGUGAUGGUAGUGCUGAUGGCUGCGGUGAUGAGGAGGAAGAGGAUGAGAUGGAGUGGGGCAAGCCAGCCAUGGAGGAGGAGGAAGUCCGAAGGAUCACCGGCCCUACACCAAUGUCAGAGAUUGAUGCAGAGGCAGUGAUGGAGGCAGAUGUCCAAGUUACAGAUGUAUCAGAGAAUUUGGUACUCAAACGGUCAAACCUAAUCCCAUUCUCACCAACACAACGGCAAAAGUGCCCAUAA
rnacentral:rRNA from 1 species